AUACAGAGGGUGCGAGCGUUAAUCGGAAUUACUGGGCGUAAAGCGCGCGUAGGCGGCUUGGUCAGUCGGAUGUGAAAGCCCCGGGCUCAACCUGGGAAUGGCAUUCGAUACUGCCAGGCUAGAGUAUGGGAGAGGGAAGUGGAAUUUCCGGUGUAGCGGUGAAAUGCGUAGAUAUCGGAAGGAACACCAGUGGCGAAGGCGACUUCCUGGCCCAAUACUGACGCUGAGGUGCGAAAGCGUGGGGAGCGAACAGGAGUAGAUACCCCAGUAGUCC
rnacentral:rRNA from 1 species